AAUACCGAAAUAUAAGUUACCUACUUAAACAUCCGUAUACUUACGUAUAGGUAAUUGAUGUUCAAUUAGCCUGAAGCUCAUUUUCUGAAGUUAAUAUUCAUCGUUUUGAGUCGCAGUUUUUUUUUUUUUAGAAAAUCUUAAUCAAAAUGAGAGCCUUCAUUGCAUUCCUGUUUGUAUUGGCGGUGUACGUUUCCAUGGUAAUUGCGCAAAGUCCUGACUGGUCACAUGUUUCUGAUGAAGUGCAGAUUGUUGGACAUAAACAAGAAGUUGAUUAAUCUGUGAAUCUGAUUGCACAAAACCAUAUUCACCAACUGUCAGAUGUGACACCAUCGGAACCGAAUAAAAAACGCAAAUCAGGUUCCAAAAUCCUUCCUAGACAUUCGCAUUUCGAGCCUUAGAUACCUAUCUGUUUAUUAGUCAGCUACAAAGACACCAAAAAUCUUGCUGUAGAAUAAAGUAGAACUUUAUAAUUAUUUAUAUUUAAUCAAGUUCUGUACUUACUAUACGUCGUUUUAUAAGAAAAAAAAUUUUAAAUAGAUCUUUGAAGAUGUA